rnacentral:rRNA from 1 species
AGAGUUUGAUCCUGGCUCAGGACGAACGCUGGCGGCGUGCCUAAUACAUGCAAGUCGAGCGGACAGAUGGGAGCUUGCUCCCUGAUGUUAGCGGCGGACGGGUGAGUAACACGUGGGUAACCUGCCUGUAAGACUGGGAUAACUCCGGGAAACCGGGGCUAAUACCGGAUGGUUGUUUGAACCGCAUGGUUCAGACAUAAAAGGUGGCUUCGGCUACCACUUACAGAUGGACCCGCGGCGCAUUAGCUAGUUGGUGAGGUAACGGCUCACCAAGGCGACGAUGCGUAGCCGACCUGAGAGGGUGAUCGGCCACACUGGGACUGAGACACGGCCCAGACUCCUACGGGAGGCAGCAGUAGGGAAUCUUCCGCAAUGGACGAAAGUCUGACGGAGCAACGCCGCGUGAGUGAUGAAGGUUUUCGGAUCGUAAAGCUCUGUUGUUAGGGAAGAACAAGUGCCGUUCAAAUAGGGCGGCACCUUGACGGUACCUAACCAGAAAGCCACGGCUAACUACGUGCCAGCAGCCGCGGUAAUACGUAGGUGGCAAGCGUUGUCCGGAAUUAUUGGGCGUAAAGGGCUCGCAGGCGGUUUCUUAAGUCUGAUGUGAAAGCCCCCGGCUCAACCGGGGAGGGUCAUUGGAAACUGGGGAACUUGAGUGCAGAAGAGGAGAGUGGAAUUCCACGUGUAGCGGUGAAAUGCGUAGAGAUGUGGAGGAACACCAGUGGCGAAGGCGACUCUCUGGUCUGUAACUGACGCUGAGGAGCGAAAGCGUGGGGAGCGAACAGGAUUAGAUACCCUGGUAGUCCACGCCGUAAACGAUGAGUGCUAAGUGUUAGGGGGUUUCCGCCCCUUAGUGCUGCAGCUAACGCAUUAAGCACUCCGCCUGGGGAGUACGGUCGCAAGACUGAAACUCAAAGGAAUUGACGGGGGCCCGCACAAGCGGUGGAGCAUGUGGUUUAAUUCGAAGCAACGCGAAGAACCUUACCAGGUCUUGACAUCCUCUGACAAUCCUAGAGAUAGGACGUCCCCUUCGGGGGCAGAGUGACAGGUGGUGCAUGGUUGUCGUCAGCUCGUGUCGUGAGAUGUUGGGUUAAGUCCCGCAACGAGCGCAACCCUUGAUCUUAGUUGCCAGCAUUCAGUUGGGCACUCUAAGGUGACUGCCGGUGACAAACCGGAGGAAGGUGGGGAUGACGUCAAAUCAUCAUGCCCCUUAUGACCUGGGCUACACACGUGCUACAAUGGACAGAACAAAGGGCAGCGAAACCGCGAGGUUAAGCCAAUCCCACAAAUCUGUUCUCAGUUCGGAUCGCAGUCUGCAACUCGACUGCGUGAAGCUGGAAUCGCUAGUAAUCGCGGAUCAGCAUGCCGCGGUGAA